CAAAGACUUGUCUGUUUUUAUUCUCUAUGGGGACUGGCAGAAAGCAGUAGAACUAACGAGAGUAACGUAUCUUAUUCUGAAUAAAUAAAAUAAUCUACGUUAUUAUUUAUAUAAUAUAUUUUACAAAACCCAUAGAAAUAAAGUCAUUUUUAGCAUUGAGAUGCUGUUUAGAUUCCUCGGUUAUGUUUAUCACGUAACAAUUAUAAUAGUAUAAGUGAUUUCAGACAGGAUAACGAGUAGAAAAGACAAGACGGGACUUUACAACAGUUUCUGUUCAAACCACACAUUUCCUCUUCUAAACAGAAGAGCCUGACACGUUGAUUUGUGCUCAAAAACAAACGAGUGUUAUUCCUGAGGAGAAGAGGAAGGAUUACUCAGAGGCUGACCUGCAAACCUUCAACAUCAUGUGACUGAGAGAAAGCAGAACAUUCCUGACAAUAACAGAACCUUCUCUAAAUAUGACAGCCUGCAUCAGGUUGAUUUGUGCUUUUUCUGCAAGAAAGAUUUAAAAAAUGUAACAGGAUUAUUAUUACCACUGAUUAGAAGAUGCCAGGUUCUUCAGUGGUUGGAUCCGGGUGGUUCUUCAGAAUAUUCAGAUUUUUUCAGCCGAAUGCAGGUAUAUCAAAUUGACAGGGUGCCCAUCAAAGGGGCUUGGCUGUCAAACUUGUAAAUAUUUUUUUUGGAGAAAUGGGAGGGAAACAAAUGGUCUGAUUGAGAAACCCACCAUUCCUGGUGCAAGGAAUGCCACCACUAAGCCUGGUGUUUGUAUAUUUAGUAAUAUUAAACUUUUCUCACAAAAUUGCAUUUUCAACUGUCAGAAAGCAACUCAAUGUCAACUCAUAUUAACUGUGUUGUGAAGCAUCCUUAUUUCUCCUUAAAGCUGCCACUACUCCUUUUUUGUCUAAAUUCUAUUCUGUAUGAAGAAUUCAAAAAUAGCUUCAGUGGUGUCUUUGACGGUCAGAUUUGAUUAACAUUUUUUUGUUAACAAAUGAGAACUGUACUUUUUUUAGCCAGGUGCACAUUAAUCUGCAAUUCUGGAUAUGAAUUAUAAUAAUAUGCUUAAUAUAUUUUUUUCCCAUCAGAAGAUAAUGAAAAAAUCCCUUUCUGCAACUCUGAAAACCAUCAGAUAGAGGGUGAGAUUUAUGUAAUAUUUUUUCAGCAUGAAGAUACAUUAAUAUAUAUUAUUAUUGUAUUAAAAGUGUUAUGUUGCAGAUUGUGCUAUUUUUGAGAAGUUGUAUCUUGUGGUCAUUGGCUGUCACUAUGCUGGAAAAAAUGAAGUGGGCAACGCUAUCCUUCAAGAGAAAGUUUUCACAAAAUGGGGAAUAUUUUUAAAUAGCCAAGUACAGAAUGAAAGAGAAAUACAUAAUAAAAAGAUUACACUGAUCCGUGUCCCUGGAUGG
rnacentral:lncRNA from 1 species